rnacentral:rRNA from 1 species
UACGUAGGGCGCAAGCGUUGUCCGGAAUUAUUGGGCGUAAAGAGCUCGUAGGCGGUUUGUCGCGUCUGCCGUGAAAACCCGAGGCUUAACCUCGGGCCUGCGGUGGAUACGGGCAGACUAGAGGUAGGUAGGGGAGAAUGGAAUUCCCGGUGUAGCGGUGAAAUGCGCAGAUAUCGGGAGGAACACCGGUGGCGAAGGCGGUUCUCUGGGCAUGACCUGACGCUGAGGAGCGAAAGUGUGGGGAGCGAACAGG